CCGAACCUGUCUAAAUCUUCGUGUUCCUUGCACCAUCGAGUUUCAGAGCAGUCGAUCCCUACCUACAAACCUUACUGCUAAGGGUAUCCCUGAGCAGGCUUGGCGGUAAACACCGACAUGGCAAGAACACCUUUUCUGCGGUUCACUAAAGAUCUACUGCAUCGCCUUGGAUGAAAAUUAUCAAGGGGCUGAUGAUGAGGUUGAUGGUACUUCACCCCCAACAAUCAACAGAAGCGGGCAGCCGAUCAAAUAUUCUCCGCCAACAAAUUAUCCUCUUAUCAGCUAUGAUGCACCAACCCUUGCUGACGUCGCUACUGGCAGAAAACGCAAGAUGACCAGCACUAAGAGGAUAGCCCAGAGGACUCAAGGUUCUUCUGGCCAUGCUUUGACCAUCACAUCGGCACAAGAUGACGAUGUCCCAACAGAUGCUGCCUCUCCCCCAUCAGAAGCUGCCAAAGAUAUAAACGAAAGGGACACCCAAGAGAUUACUUCCCAAACAGCUCCAACAGUUUAGAUCCAAUGCUUGCCCUCCAAACGGGCAAGAACAACUUCCUCACCGGCUCAGCAAACAUCAAUCAUCAUGCAAGAGUUACCAUCCAUCCCACAAGAUGCUUUCCCUGAUUCUGUCGCCCCAACAUUGUUACUCGCAUCCUCCUCUGCACCGGCUACUGAUGAAGCCCUUCUGAGACAAGCACAGGACAGUCCAGACAACAGUCUGUUCUCCUUCCAGCUUGGAACAACCAGUGCAGAAGACGAGGUUAUAUCAUCAGCAGAAUCGGCUCCAUUAUCAGAAGAAACUAAGGCCAAGCUUCAGGAAAUUCUACAAUUCCUUAACCAAGACAUUGGUCAACUGGUUUGAGAUGCUGAGCCGAUUCGGACCAUCUUGAAAUCUCUGAAAGGUAUUCUUCCCGAGUCUCUUGAAGAAGCACUGCACCCUGCUGCUUAUAUCGAGAGCCACCAGAUUUUAGUUCUCAAAGCUCAGAAACGCCUCUCUGAUCAGCUCCACCAAGAGCAAGCGAUCAAACAGAGAGAUGACCUGAAAAACCUUGUGGAAACAACUAGCGGAAAGAUUGUCUCCUUAACUCAAUCCAAGGCAAAUAUGGAACAAUCAAAAAUAGACUUGGAAGCCAAGCGAGAACGCCUUAUCAAAGAACUGGAGCAAGUGACCCAAGAGAUUGCCGAUGUAGACAAUAAACUAUCUCAACUUCCAUCGGCUCUCCAGCAACUUGAGGCGGAGAAACAAGAACAAGCUCGUCAGACCUACCAACUCCAUAAAAGCAUUAAGCCAAUACCAGGUUCUGCUGAAGCUGACAACAAGGAAAUUCAAGAUGCUGAUGACAUUCGCCUGCGUGCGAUCUCUGUGAUCCAGAAUGCUCUCGGAUCAUUGUAAAACGCUACUUGUUCUUGUUGUGGUAGAAAAAACUUCAACUGAUGUAUUGCAAAUGAUGCUUAAUUCACAACCUCUGUCUUCAACAAAUAUAACUUUUUCUUUUGUAUUA